rnacentral:snRNA from 1 species
AUCGCUUCUCGGCCUUUUGGCUAAGAUCAAGUGUAGUAUCUGUUCUUAUCAGUUUAAUAUCUGAUACGUCCUCUGUCCGAGGACAAUAUA